GGUCUAAAGUUGCCUUCUGAGGAAUGUAACAGCCAGUGUAAACACUAUCAUAUCUCCAUAGUCCUCCUGCACUCUCCCAUGAAUCCCACAGCUGCUACGUGUUUGAAUAAACUCCAUGAAUAUUUAUCACAGACCUCCUCUGGUGCCUCGCGUGCCGACUAGACCAGUUAACCCGAGGUCCUCCAGGGUGUUUUGAGGCAUAUUUGUGCCAUUUUACAAAAUCAUUUUUUUUUUUUUGUAUCAAACCUUUCCAAUGCAGAUUGCUUUUAUUUUAAAUAACAAAGAUUUUAGGACAACCUCAACUCUAUCCUGCAUAAAUUAAACUGUUUACACUAAUCAGAGUGUUGAAAACAACGCAAUUAAAGCUCAAGAACACAGACAGGUACAUCUGUCUUGAUUUCAGUUUAGCCCCUAACAUCAUGUCCUAAUAGUAAGCAAGGUGAUCAGACAUCAGUGGUUAAAUCAUCUUAAAUGCAUUUUUUCAUUCUGAGGAGUCAUUUUGAUAAUGACAGGUUGUUUUUAUUUGCAUCGUGCAGACAUGCAGAUGGAAGUUCAGAUUAUGUCUUGACUUCUUCUAGCAUUGUUGGCUGUUGGAUUUUUCUGUUUCAAGAGGAGUACCAAACUUCACAAAGAUAAAAAAAAAAAAAACUUUUAACCCUGACAUCUCUAACUGCUCUCCUGUCAUGUGGUUUCUGAUGUUUCAGGGGUGAAUAUGUUUUUUAUCACAGCCUAGACAGCGAGUGUCUGUUUUUGGUGAUCUGACCGUCACACUAUUGAAUUUCCUUUUGGGGAUAAACAGAGUUCCUCUUAUCUCAUCAUAUCUUAUCUUAUGCUGUCAGGACAAACUGGAACACUGAAAAUUGGUCAGAACCUGGUUUUGGAUUCUGGCCAAACGGACCCCCUUAUUGAAAAAUAACUUUUCUUUUGGGUUCUUUUGGGGUCAAAUUAAAAAAUGGAGGCUUUGACGGCUGUAACAUAAUUACUUCUUCAAAGUCUGCCCUCUAAAUGUUGGUGUUUUCAUCACUUAAAGGCUGGGAUUGGUAACAAAAUGUCUGAUAACAGUACAGAAAGGAGCUCUGCAGAGAGAGAGACCUACACUUACUUUAUCACCCUCUUUAAAGCCACAAAUUCAAAUAACAGAAACAAUCAUUUUUUCCUGACAGAAACUGUUAAAAGUGCUUGACAACGGCCAACUUGUUAUUCCUUGUCAUCAGAUCAACCUCAGAUUCAGUGCUGGCAGAAAGAAGGAUGACUAAGAAGAUCCCUGUAGAGAUUAACCUUUUUGGAGGUUGUUUGGUUGUUCUUUUUAAGCCAGCAGACUUCACCAACAAAAACAGUAAUUUUAUCUGGGAGAACAGAGAAGCUGCAGGUCUACUGCUGGCUCUGGCUGUUUUUUUUUUUUUGUUUGAGGUUAGGUUUUAAAAGGUUACAGUAUUUCCACAGAGCCAUCCAGGACCUAAGGCUACUGGGGUGGCAACUGGAUGGGGUAUCUUUUAAAACACCCCAUAAUACACUAACCAUUCUAUAUGGAAUGAUGCAUGUCAUAUUUUCUGAUUCGGAGUUACUUCAUAUUUGAGUCUGUGUUCUCUUCUCUUUAUCAUCUUGUAUGUUCACAAAGCUUAAAUUUACUCUCCUGCUUCUUUUUAGUUGUAUUAUACUCACUGAUUCAAAAUGGAAAACAAAGUAACCUUUCUGAGUCUGGUGGUUUGAUAAGAGUGAUUUAACCGCUGUUUCUGGUUUUAAAAUCAUGUUGUGCUUCGAAAAAGGUUUGUGUCUUCAAAGCUUUUCUCUGUACUGUUGUCAGACACUUAAAAUAACAAUCAACAAUUAAUAUUUGCUCCCAAGAAUCACAUCACCUGCUUCCCAGCUGCUCUGACCCCAUCAUCUUAAGCAGCUUAAUAACUUAAAACCAUUUCUUAAUUUAGCUCCCAAAAUGUAUAAGAAGGAGCCAGGUCAAAUUAAAUACACUUGAAAUUGCUCAUUUUCAGAUCGACCUCAAAUUCAGUGAAGGAAGGCAAAAAGAAACACCUUUUUUCUAGAGUGAAGAUGAUGUAUAGACAGAAAAACAGCCUCUUCUUGAGAUACUAAUGUCCAGAAAGCAGACUUUAGUUUGAAGAACUCUAAAUCUGCAAAUAAUUUUCAGAGCUGCUCUUGUGGUUAUUUGACUUCAUGGACUGUUGAGUGCUCUCAGCCGAGCUCUCUGUACCCAGACUGUUGACAAGCCUCCACUUUGUCCUUAAAGCCAUAAUUUAAAGACCCAAAUAACUCUGAAGAGACGGAUAUUUCACUCUGAGUGAAAGUGGCAGACAGGCCGUGCUUUUCUCUCUUUGAUGAAGACUUUAUGAAGUGUGUAAUAACCACUGCUAAUGUUGGACUGUCUCAGAACAGGCCUGGGAUGGUCAUGUGAUGCACUUUAUGGAUGAAUGGCGACCCAUAAUGUUUGCUAGGAUUUGUUUUUUACUGCUUCUUUUGUUCGAGACAGAAACAUGCUUUUUCUAACACUGAAUCUGUCUUUUUGUUGGAUCGUACAUGUUGGGAUGGGAUUCACAGAUCUGGGUUUUGGUUUGUCUUGAAAUUCCUCACAUGCAGAAGUGCCUUAGAGACUUUUCACUUUACUUUUGACGUGUUUGAACAGCUUUAUAGGUUUGUGUUUCACUGUGUUGCUCUCAUGGUUUUUAUUGUGUAAAUGUUAUUAGGCUGAACUGAAAUGUUUUUGUAAUCCUAAAAUAUUAUAAUCAAGUCUUAGUUCACAUAUAUACUUAUAGUUGCACUAUUAAGAUUUCCAUGAGUAACAUUUCAAGACUCAAGUCUGGGAUUUAAAGGGAUAAUUCAGUGAGAUAAUCUGAUCUGUAGAUACUAAGAUGUUUAUCAGAAAGAAAUAUUGAAUUCACACAUUAAUAAACAUGUCUGAUGUAUGAAAAAA